UACGUAGGUGGCAAGCGUUGUCCGGAUUUACUGGGCGUAAAGAGCGCGCAGGCGGUCGUUCAAGUCGCGUGUGAAAGCCCCCGGCUCAACUGGGGAGGGUCACGCGAUACUGAUCGACUCGAAGGCAGGAGAGGGAAGUGGAAUUCCCGGUGUAGUGGUGAAAUGCGUAGAUAUCGGGAGGAACACCGGUGGCGAAGGCGGUUCUCUGGGCCUUACCUGACGCUGAGGAGCGAAAGCGUGGGGAGCGAACAGG
rnacentral:rRNA from 1 species